GUAAGGAAUAUUGGUCAAUGGAGGCAACUCUGAACCAGCCAUGCCGCGUGCAGGAAGACGGCCCUCUGGGUUGUAAACUGCUUUUAUCUGGGAAUAAACCUGCUUACGUGUAAGUAGCUGAAUGUACCAGAAGAAUAAGGAUCGGCUAACUCCGUGCCAGCAGCCGCGGUAAUACGGAGGAUCCAAGCGUUAUCCGGAUUUAUUGGGUUUAAAGGGUGCGUAGGCGGCCUGUUAAGUCAGGGGUGAAAGACGGUGGCUCAACCAUCGCAGGGCCCUUGAUACUGAUGGGAUUGAAUGGACUAGAGGUAGGCGGAAUGAGACAAGUAGCGGUGAAAUGCAUAGAUAUGUCUCAGAACACCGAUUGAGAAGGCAGCUUACUAUGGUCUUAUUGACGCUGAGGCACGAAAGCGUGGGGAUCGAACAGGAUUAGAUACCCCGGUAGUCC
rnacentral:rRNA from 1 species